UAGGAUUCAGUUGUGCCCUAACUGGUGUA
rnacentral:piRNA from 1 species